rnacentral:rRNA from 1 species
UACGUAGGGUGCGAGCGUUAAUCGGAAUUACUGGGCGUAAAGUGUGCGCAGGCGCAAAGCAAGUCGAGUGUGAAAGCCCCGGGCUUAACUUGGGAAUUGCGCUCGAAACUACUUUGCUGGAGUGUGGCAGAGGAAGGUGGAAUUCCACGUGUAGCGGUGAAAUGCGUAGAGAUGUGGAGGAACACCAAUGGCGAAGGCAGCCUCUGGGCCAACACUGACGCUCAUGCACGAAAGCGUGGGGAGCAAACAGG